rnacentral:lncRNA from 1 species
GCCAAAGGAAAAAAAUCUUGUCUUUAAGAAAUAAAGGUAAAACAUUUUAAAAGAUUAUUUGAUUUCCCCCCAAAACAGCUAGUAAGGGUGGAAGCAUUUGAAAGACUAUCAGAAGAAAAGGCACCCCUAGAUGAGGGUUUACUUGAAGUGAAGUGAAAUUCAGUUUCAUAAGGAAAAGAGGCUGAAAGGAACUAGCAGGACGUUUCGGGCGCUUGCAUCUGGUUUGAUUCAAAUGGUUUCACAUUCAUGGAGUUUCAAAUAAAAAUAAAGUUCAUAGCAAGAAGAAAUGCUAUUUAAACCAUGUGAACUGGAGCCAGUGAAAAAAUUCAUCCUUAUAACCGCAAUGUGUGAAGUUUUGCUUGAGCCAAGAUGGGAUGACUGGAGCUAGACCCUGGCUGUCUGACUUGAUCACUACAGGGGCAAUUUAACAGAAGAUACGAUAUGAGGUGGUAAGAAGUUCAGAUGAAAUAGGAGUUUAAUGGUCACCACUGCAUUGGAGACAUUGAACUAUAUUCCUUAAAGCAUCAGUAAUACACAGUUUUACUUUAAAGUCUGGAUGAUAGAAAGUUUAUUGAUCACAACUCCUUCACUUUCCCAAGAAAUUUUGUCAACUCUCUUGUCUUCGUAUCUUCACUUGGCUUCUUAAGGACUGAUAGGUAGAGAGCAGUUUCCUCUUUACAUAUGUUAUUAGAACACUUUAUCAUAAAAAUCAAAGACACUGUUAUUUGAUAUUUUUUAACUAGGAAAUGUCUAAGCAUUUU